rnacentral:rRNA from 1 species
CGUGUAGGCGGCUUGGUAAGUUGGGUGUGAAAUCCCAGGGCUCAACCCUGGAAGUGCAUUCAAAACUGCUCGGCUAGAGUUCUGGAGAGGAAGGUGGAAUGCUUGGUGUAGAGGUGAAAUUCGUAGAUAUCAAGCGGAACACCGGUGGCGAAGGCGGCCUUCUGGACAGAAACUGACGCUGAGACGCGAAAGCGUGGGGAGCAAACAGGAUUAGAUACCCUGGUAGUCCACGCCGUAAACGAUGAGUGCUGGAUGUCAGGAGCUUUGACCCUCCUGGUGUCGUAGCUAACGCGAUAAGCACUCCGCCUGGGGAGUACGGCCGCAAGGCUAAA